UACGUAGGGGGCAAGCGUUGUCCGGAUUUAUUGGGCGUAAAGAGCGUGUAGGCGGCCAGGUAGGUCUGCUGUGAAAACUCGAGGCUUAACCUCGAGCUGUCGGCGGAAACCAUCUGGCUAGAGUCCGGAAGAGGAGAAUGGAAUUCCCGGUGUAGCGGUGAAAUGCGCAGAUAUCGGGAAGAAGACCAGUGGCGAAGGCGGGUCUCUGGACAGUUCCUGACGCUGAGGCGCGAAGGCCAGGGAGCAAA
rnacentral:rRNA from 1 species